GACAGCGGGCCGGGUGGACCCCAGCGCAAGGCGUGCAUGCUUGCAGGGCGGUGACAGCGGGGUGGGGGCGGAGGCGCACCCCAGGGACCCAGCGGCCCACCACACCCGCAGCGAGGACCGACGACGGGCCGCCCGACAACUCGACCGAGGGCACAAGCGGCGCGGGGCCGCACCGCGGCGUCGCGGAGGGACGAGGGGGGAAGCCCCAAGCUCCCCCACCACCACCACACCCCAGACACGGACCUCCCCCUCGACGGCCCGGGGCACCGAGCAGUCACGUCGGGACCGGCCGACACGCGCGCGCCCUCGCUCGAGCGGACAGGAGAGGGGUGGCAACGAGGGCCAAGGCCCAAGGCCCCUCCCCCCCACCCACCCAGGAGCGGCACGGCUAUGACGGCCGGCCCGCAGCGGCUAGCCGGGUCCCGACUCGCGCUCAGGUGAGCUCAGCAGAGCCGGGAGGGAGGGGCACGCGGCAGGGGGUGGGGGGUGGCAGAAGGCCACCCCUCGACCACACGCAACGACACCGGCGGACAGGCGGGGCAAGGAAGCGGCGGCGGGCACGGAGCGGGGCCGCAGCGGGCCCAGGAAAGCGAGACGCACCAGGACGCCGGUCCGGGGGUCGGCAGAUGGGGACCAGACAGACGGGAGGUCAGACAGACGAGCGGGAGCGAGGAGGGCGAACGUGGGAGCGGCCGGCAUCGAGAGAGAUGCCACAAAGGGACGGUGGCGGAGGGGGCGGCCGCAGGCCUCCAACGAGGUGGGGGGGGGCCACGGGGACCAUCCCCAAAAACCAGAUGCGAGUCGGCUGCCAGGGCACGACACGGGGUCUCACCGCCAGAGGCCUCCAGCACAACGGCGGUCCCGCCGCAACACCCAGGACGCCGACUGGCCUCCCCCUCAACCCCUGGGGGCCCCCCCCUCGCGGGGGCCCCACGACCGCCACCGACGACACCGACGAGCCACAGCCGGCCCCGUGGAAACAAGUCUCCCAAGGCACCUACCGACGACCACCCCCCACACCCCACACGCACCCGCCAUGCCCAACCCUCUUCCCCCACCCCCCCGCGCACAGGGGGACACCCGAGAAGCACAUCACCCAGGGACACCCGCCCGGCCACGGCGGCCAGGGGGUGACACCCACACGAGGUGAGGCCAUUUCAGGUCCCCGGUUGACACGGGGGCGGGAGGGAGAGAGACAUGGCACAGGCAAGGCAGGGCGGUCACCUGUUCGGGGCAGGGGGAGGGCCGGCAGCACCGGGGAAGGGCGGCAAUGCACACGGGGGCAGUCCCAUGACACCUGGGACACCAGGCGGCCUCAGUCGCCCCAGAGCACUCCACGACCCGGCCCCACCACCAGGGACCCAUGUGCAAAGGCUUCCCCCCCCCUGCCACGUGGGGGGGGGGGCUCGUCCGCCUCAUCUCACCCA
rnacentral:lncRNA from 9 species